ACUGUCCAUCAGAAUAAUAAUUUCGUGCCGGGUCAAAUUCAGAUACUCAAUCCAAUUCCCAUUGCUGAAGCUGCAGAGAGAGCUGGGAAAGUAUGGAUGCUUUGGACGCAGUUUUUGAUCCAUUGAGGGACUUCGCCAAGGAUAGCGUCCGUCUCGUCAAGAGGUGCCACAAGCCCGACCGCAAAGAAUUUUCGAAAGUUGCUGUCCGCACUGCUAUCGGGUUCGUGGUGAUGGGAUUCGUAGGGUUCUUCGUCAAGCUCAUCUUCAUCCCCAUCAACAACAUCAUUGUCGGAUCUGCUUGAUUCUUAGAUUCCGGUAAUGAAAGAUUCUAAUCCAAUGAAGAGUUUACAGAUGCUAUAGUGAAAUACGGGAAGUUAUAUUUUACUCUUUUAAGUUGCUUUGAUAGUGUUUGCCAUAAUUUGUUUCAUAAACUUUCAUGCUCCUUGAAGGAUGUUUAGUGGCUUACUGGCUUGGUAGUGAAUUUUUCUUAAAUGAAUGAUCAUUUUCUUUCGGUUAUUAUCUUAACUGCUUAUCGAACUUA